GUGGGGAAUCUUCCGCAAUGGACGAAAGUCUGACGGAGCAACGCCGCGUGAGUGAUGAAGGUCUUCGGAUUGUAAAGCUCUGUUAAUCGGGACGAAAGAGCCUAGUGUGAAUAAUGCUAGGAAGUGACGGUACCGGAAUAGAAAGCCACGGCUAACUACGUGCCAGCAGCCGCGGUAAUACGUAGGUGGCAAGCGUUGUCCGGAAUUAUUGGGCGUAAAGCGCGCGCAGGCGGAUCUGCCGGUCUAUCUUAAAAGUUCGGGGCUUAACCCCGUGAUGGGAGGGAAACCACAGAUCUAUAGUAUCGGUGAAGAAAGGGGAAUUCCUAGUGGAGCCGUGAAAUGCGUAGAUAUUAGGAAGAACACCAGUGGCGAAGGCGACUUUCUGGACGAAAACUGACGCUGAGGCGCGAAAGCCAGGGGAGCGAACGGGAUUAGAAACCCGAGUAGUCC
rnacentral:rRNA from 1 species